AGAGCCACUAGCAUUGAAAUAUAAAAGGGACAACCCCGUGGACACAGGCAAAGCGUUGGAUCCAGGUCCACGAAGAAAGGAGACAUUUGUACAAGAUGAAGUCCUUCUAUCUGCUGCUGGCCCUGUGUCUGGUGCUCGCCCUUGUCGCGGGUGGCGCUGAUGCUGCCUCGAAUGUACCGGCUGAAGACGAAAAAGAGAAAAACAGUGGAAAUACACUCGGAACGAUUGCCAACUUUGUUUUGGGGCUAAUCAGAGCUUUUAAGGGCAAAAACAAACGAAAAGGAUAAAGGGCGCGACAACUCAUACAAAUCAAAAGACGAUCACGGAUGUGAUGUCAGCUGCCUCUCGUCGGGUCCUGGACGAGACCCUGUCACGUGAUUCAAGCUAUCAAUCUAUUCUCAUCGUCUUCAGAAUCCAUCAGUGUUGACAAUGUUUUUAUUCCAACUGUUUCCCGUCUGCUGGAUGCUUUAUUUUUUCUAAUAUUUAAAAAAUAAAUUUUGCACUCUA